rnacentral:rRNA from 1 species
GACGAACGCUGGCGGCGUGCUUAACACAUGCAAGUCGAACGAAGAGCGAUGGAAGCUUGCUUCUAUCAAUCUUAGUGGCGAACGGGUGAGUAACGCGUAAUCAACCUGCCCUUCAGAGGGGGACAACAGUUGGAAACGACUGCUAAUACCGCAUACGAUCUAAUCUCGGCAUCGAGGAUAGAUGAAAGGUGGCCUCUACAUGUAAGCUAUCACUGAAGGAGGGGAUUGCGUCUGAUUAGCUAGUUGGAGGGGUAACGGCCCACCAAGGCGAUGAUCAGUAGCCGGUCUGAGAGGAUGAACGGCCACAUUGGGACUGGGACACGGCCCAGACUCCUACGGGAGGCAGCAGUGGGGAAUCUUCCGCAAUGGACGAAAGGCUGACGGAGCAACGCCGCGUGAGUGAUGACGGCCUUCGGGUUGUAAAGCUCUGUUAAUCGGGACGAAAGGCCUUCUUGCGAAUAGUGAGAAGGAUUGACGGUACCGGAAUAGAAAGCCACGGCUAACUACGUG